rnacentral:rRNA from 1 species
GCGGCGUGCCUAAUACAUGCAAGUAGAACGCUGAAGAGAGGAGCUUGCUCUUCUUGGAUGAGUUGCGAACGGGUGAGUAACGCGUAGGUAACCUGCCUUGUAGCGGGGGAUAACUAUUGGAAACGAUAGCUAAUACCGCAUAACAAUGGAUGACACAUGUCAUUUAUUUGAAAGGGGCAAUUGCUCCACUACAAGAUGGACCUGCGUUGUAUUAGCUAGUAGGUGAGGUAAUGGCUCACCUAGGCGACGAUACAUAGCCGACCUGAGAGGGUGAUCGGCCACACUGGGACUGAGACACGGCCCAGACUCCUACGGGAGGCAGCAGUAGGGAAUCUUCGGCAAUGGGGGCAACCCUGACCGAGCAACGCCGCGUGAGUGAAGAAGGUUUUCGGAUCGUAAAGCUCUGUUGUAAGUCAAGAACGGGUGUGAGAGUGGAAAGUUCACACUGUGACGGUAGCUUACCAGAAAGGGACGGCUAACUACGUGCCAGCAGCCGCGGUAAUACGUAGGUCCCGAGCGUUGUCCGGAUUUAUUGGGCGUAAAGCGAGCGCAGGCGGUUUGAUAAGUCUGAAGUUAAAGGCUGUGGCUCAACCAUAGUUCGCUUUGGAAACUGUCAAACUUGAGUGCAGAAGGGGAGAGUGGAAUUCCAUGUGUAGCGGUGAAAUGCGUAGAUAUAUGGAGGAACACCGGUGGCGAAAGCGGCUCUCUGGUCUGUAACUGACGCUGAGGCUCGAAAGCGUGGGGAGCGAACAGGAUUAGAUACCCUGGUAGUCCACGCCGUAAACGAUGAGUGCUAGGUGUUGGAUCCUUUCCGGGAUUCAGUGCCGCAGCUAACGCAUUAAGCACUCCGCCUGGGGAGUACGACCGCAAGGUUGAAACUCAAAGGAAUUGACGGGGGCCCGCACAAGCGGUGGAGCAUGUGGUUUAAUUCGAAGCAACGCGAAGAACCUUACCAGGUCUUGACAUCCCGAUGCUAUUUCUAGAGAUAGAAAGUUACUUCGGUACAUCGGUGACAGGUGGUGCAUGGUUGUCGUCAGCUCGUGUCGUGAGAUGUUGGGUUAAGUCCCGCAACGAGCGCAACCCCUAUUGUUAGUUGCCAUCAUUCAGUUGGGCACUCUAGCGAGACUGCCGGUAAUAAACCGGAGGAAGGUGGGGAUGACGUCAAAUCAUCAUGCCCCUUAUGACCUGGGCUACACACGUGCUACAAUGGUUGGUACAACGAGUUGCGAGUCGGUGACGGCGAGCUAAUCUCUUAAAGCCAAUCUCAGUUCGGAUUGUAGGCUGCAACUCGCCUACAUGAAGUCGGAAUCGCUAGUAAUCGCGGAUCAGCACGCCGCGGUGAAUACGUUCCCGGGCCUUGUACACACCGCCCGUCACACCACGAGAGUUUGUAACACCCGAAGUCGGUGAGGUAACCUUUUGGAGCCAGCCGCCUAAGGUGGGACAGAUGAUUGGGGUGAAGU